GUCGACGGCAGCACGGGAGCAAUCCUGGUGGCGAGUGGCGAACGGGUGAGUAAUACAUCGGAACGUGUCCUGUAGUGGGGGAUAGCCCGGCGAAAGCCGGAUUAAUACCGCAUACGCUCUACGGAGGAAAGGGGGGGAUCUUAGGACCUCUCGCUACAGGGGCGGCCGAUGGCAGAUUAGCUAGUUGGUGGGGUAAAGGCCUACCAAGGCGACGAUCUGUAGCUGGUCUGAGAGGACGACCAGCCACACUGGGACUGAGACACGGCCCAGACUCCUACGGGAGGCAGCAGUGGGGAAUUUUGGACAAUGGGCGCAAGCCUGAUCCAGCAAUGCCGCGUGUGUGAAGAAGGCCUUCGGGUUGUAAAGCACUUUUGUCCGGAAAGAAAACCUCUGGGUUAAUACCCCGGGGGGAUGACGGUACCGGAAGAAUAAGCACCGGCUAACUACGUGCCAGCAGCCGCGGUAAUACGUAGGGUGCAAGCGUUAAUCGGAAUUACUGGGCGUAAAGCGUGCGCAGGCGGUCCGCUAAGACAGAUGUGAAAUCCCCGGGCUUAACCUGGGAACUGCAUUUGUGACUGGCGGGCUAGAGUAUGGCAGAGGGGGGUAGAAUUCCACGUGUAGCAGUGAAAUGCGUAGAGAUGUGGAGGAAUACCGAUGGCGAAGGCAGCCCCCUGGGCCAAUACUGACGCUCAUGCACGAAAGCGUGGGGAGCAAACAGGAUUAGAUACCCUGGUAGUCCACGCCCUAAACGAUGUCAACUAGUUGUUGGGGAUUCAUUUCCUUAGUAACGUAGCUAACGCGUGAAGUUGACCGCCUGGGGAGUACGGUCGCAAGAUUAAAACUCAAGAA
rnacentral:rRNA from 1 species